UUAGAGUCAGAGGUGUGGUUAGAGUCAGAGGUGUGGUAGAGUCAGAGGUGUGGUAGAGUCAGAGGUGUGGUAGAGUCAGAGGUGUGGUAGAGUCAGAGGUGUGGUAGGGUCAGAGGUGUGGUAGGGUCAGAGGUGUGGUAGAGUCAGAGGUGUGGUAGAGUCAGAGGUGUGGUAGAGUCAGAGGUGUGGUAGAGUCAGAGGUGUGGUAGGGUCAGAGGUGUGGUAGGGUCAGAGGUGUGGUAGAGUCAGAGUCAGAGGUGUGGUAGAGUCAGAGGUGUGGUAGAGUCAGAGGUGUGGUAGAGUCAGAGGUAUGGUAGGGUCAGAGGUGUGGUAGAGUCAGAGGUGUGGUAGAGUCAGAGGUGUGGUAGAGUCAGAGUCAGAGGUGUGGUAGAGUCAGAGGUGUGGUAGAGUCAGAGGUGUGGUAGAGUCAGAGGUGUGGUAGAGUCAGAGGUGUGGUAGAGUCAGAGGUGUGGUAGGGUCAGAGGUGUGGUAGAGUCAGAGGUGUGGUAGAGUCAGAGGUGUGGUUAGAGUCAGAGGUGUGUUUAGAGUCAGAGGUGUGGUUAGAGUCAGAGGUGUGGUUAGAGUCAGAGGUGUGGUUAGAGUCAGAGGUGUGGUAGAGUCAGAGGUGUGGUAGAGUCAGAGGUGUGGUAGAGUCAGAGGUGUGGUAGAGUCAGAGGUGUGGUAGGGUCAGAGGUGUGGUAGGGUCAGAGGUGUGGUAGAGUCAGAGGUGUGGUAGAGUCAGAGGUGUGGUAGAGUCAGAGGUGUGGUAGAGUCAGAGUCAGAGGUGUGGUAGAGUCAGAGGUGUGGUAGAGUCAGAGGUGUGGUAGAGUCAGAGGUGUGGUAGAGUCAGAGGUGUGGUAGAGUCAGAGGUGUGGUAGGGUCAGAGGUGUGGUAGAGUCAGAGGUGUGGUAGAGUCAGAGGUGUGGUUAGAGUCAGAGGUGUGUUUAGAGUCAGAGGUGUGGUUAGAGUCAGAGGUGUGGUAGGGUCAGAGGUGUGGUAGAGUCAGAGGUGUGGUAGAGUCAGAGGUGUGGUAGAGUCAGAGGUGUGUUUAGAGUCAGAGGUGUGUUUAGAGUCAGAGGUGUGUUUAGAGUCAGAGGUGUGGUUAGAGUCAGAGGUGUGGUAGGGUCAGAGGUGUGGUAGAGUCAGAGGUGUGGUAGAGUCAGAGGUGUGGUAGAGUCAGAGGUGUGGUAGAGUCAGAGGUGUGGUAGGGUCAGAGGUGUGGUAGGGUCAGAGGUGUGGUAGAGUCAGAGUCAGAGGUGUGGUAGAGUCAGAGGUGUGGUAGAGUCAGAGGUGUGGUAGAGUCAGAGGUAUGGUAGGGUCAGAGGUGUGGUAGAGUCAGAGGUGUGGUAGAGUCAGAGGUGUGGUAGAGUCAGAGUCAGAGGUGUGGUAGAGUCAGAGGUGUGGUAGAGUCAGAGG